rnacentral:SRP_RNA from 1 species
GAUCCUUCCGGGGUGAAGUGCUCCGAUUGCUGCGCCGGGCUUCGCCCUUUCAUGGUGCAUGGUGUGAAUUUGAGAACACUUGAUUCUGACGUGAUGUCCCUCCCCAGCCCGACUGUCAACGAGUUU